CGUGAGCCAAGCCCAGCCGAAGCUUCAAGAAAAUUCCUCGUUCUUUUGUGGCCCGUCAUGCUGUACUAGGAUCGGGAUAUGAAGAGCCAGGAAGCACGUGACUGCCAAGAUUUUCAGUGAGUCCCCACCACACGAUCAAAUUCUUUGAAGGUUCGUUAUUCCGUGGCAUACAGAUGACUAAGCCUCUACGACGAGCCCGUUGCAAGUGGCCUUCAGGGGGUACAACAUCUGAUCGCCAGAAUUGCGCGCGAUUGAAAUUGACCCUACAGACCCACCCAAGGUCACAGAUGUCACAGCAACUGAAAGAAGGAUUUCGUCAGCUAAACGAUCUCAAUGCAGCACCAGACCUAGCCUUACAAGAUUUAGACGAGGAAUGCGCAGGUUAACAGGGAACAUGGGAGUUUAAAAUUGCACAAGACUGAACUGGUGGGCUUUUCUGCACAGGAUUUUCGGAAAAAUCCAUCCAAUUCGAGUUUUUGCUCUCCCGUUUUUGAAGAAAGUCUUGAAUUUCAGUCCGAGACUCCUGACUCACGGAAAGGAAAUCAUGCUGGUUGAAUGCAGUCCGACGGUUGUCGGAAAAGAGGGCUCAGACUAUUGUUUUCUUCUCAUUGUCUAACUCCUCGAAUGAAAAAAGAUUAACGAUUUAUUAUAAAUAAAAUUUAUAGUUCAGUUAAUUGACGAUUGAUCUCAAAUUCUCAGCUUACGUGUCUCUCUUUUCAGUAGCCGAUGUAAGAUUACCAGAAUACCAUUAGCUAAACUGACAAAAAUUCUGAGACAUCCCUCAUCGUAACAAUACCCUUAAAGCCGCUUUAUGCUACGGAAACCAGGAUAAGCUCCGUUUGAUGAACUACUUGGUUAUUUGAAGACGUAAUCCUUCAUGGGACAAAUUGACUAACACUGUUAAUCGAAUUGCCUAGAAAUCUUCAGAAAAGAUGCUAUUAAAUCCCUUUGGCUAUCAACUUCUUUCUUUACUUUGAGGUUAACCAUUUAAACACCUAAACCCAAGGCGCC